AUGUAUACGAUGAAAAGGUUCAAGUUUGGGGUUGUAUGGGGGAAAAUUGAAAAAGCAAGUGAAAAACAUUGAGCUCGAAUAUUGUGAAAAGAAAAGAUUCAUGAGAAAAAGAAAAGAAAAGAAGAAAAGCAUGAAGAUGAGCUCAAUGAAAAAGAAAAGAAAAGGGAAGAAGUGGGAAAUAAGAGACAUUGGUGAGAGAGUUGUGCUUAAAUGUUGAAUAUUGUGAUAGCUCUCUUGACUCAAGGAUUUUGCAUUGUAGAAAAACCAAUUCUUCUUGUUAACCCAACCUCAUUACAAGCCUUAAGAAGUCCUUUUGAUGACAUUUGCAUGUAAAUAUGCUGAUUGUUUGAGAUGAAUGGCAAUUUUGUUUCAUAUGACUUGUGAACAAUAGAGAGUUGGAGUGUCACCUUAAACACUUGAGUGAUUGAGUGAAACACUUGCUUGGUAUGAA
rnacentral:lncRNA from 1 species